rnacentral:rRNA from 1 species
AGAGUUUGAUCACGGCUCAGAGUGAACGCUGGCGGCAGGCCUAAUACAUGCAAGUCGAACGGCAGCACAGCAGAGCUUGCUCUGUGGGUGGCGAGUGGCGGACGGGUGAGGAAUACAUGGGAAUCUGCCCAGUCGUGGGGAUAACGUAGGGAAACUUACGCUAAUACCGCAUGCGCCCUUCGGGGGAAAGCCGGGGACCUUCGGGCCUGGCGCGAUUGGAUGAGCCCAUGUCGGAUUAGCUAGUUGGCGGGGUAAUGGCCCACCAAGGCGACGAUCCGUAGCUGGUCUGAGAGGAUGAUCAGCCACACUGGAACUGAGACACGGUCCAGACUCCUACGGGAGGCAGCAGUAGGGAAUAUUGGACAAUGGGCGCAAGCCUGAUCCAGCCAUGCCGCGUGAGUGAAGAAGGCCCUCGGGUUGUAAAGCUCUUUUGUCCGGAAAGAAAAGCGCCGGGUUAAUACCCUGGUGUCCUGACGGUACCGGAAGAAUAAGCACCGGCUAACUUCGUG